ACGGGAGGCAGCAGUGGGGAAUAUUGGACAAUGGGGGAAACCCUGAUCCAGCGACGCCGCGUGAGUGAAGAAGUAUUUCGGUAUGUAAAGCUCUAUCAGCAGGGAAGAUAAUGACGGUACCUGACUAAGAAGCCCCGGCUAACUACGUGCCAGCAGCCGCGGUAAUACGGAGGAUGCAAGCGUUAUCCGGAUUUAUUGGGUUUAAAGGGUGCGUAGGCGGAUGAUUAAGUCAGUGGUGAAAGGUCCCGGCUCAACCGGGGAGCUGCCAUUGAUACUGGUCGUCUUGAAUGCGGAUGCCGUGGGAGGAAUGUGUGGUGUAGCGGUGAAAUGCAUAGAUAUCACACAGAACACCGAUUGCGAAGGCAUCUCACGAAUCCGUUAUUGACGCUGAGGCACGAAAGCGUGGGGAUCAAACAGGAUUAGAUACCCUGGUA
rnacentral:rRNA from 1 species